UACAGAGGUCUCAAGCGUUGUUCGGAUUCAUUGGGCGUAAAGGGUGCGUAGGCGGCCCGCUAAGUCGAACGUGAAAUCCCCGGGCUCAACCCGGGAACUGCGUCCGAUACUGGUGGGCUCGAAUCCGGGAGAGGGAUGCGGAAUUCCUGGUGUAGCGGUGGAAUGCGCAGAUAUCAGGAGGAACACCGGUGGCGAAAGGCGGGGAUCCUGGGCCAGUACUGACGCUGAGGAGCGAAAGCGUGGGGAGCAAACAGG
rnacentral:rRNA from 1 species